UAUUGGGCAAUGGGGGAAACCCUGACCCAGCAACGCCGCGUGAGGGAAGAAGGUUUUCGGAUCGUAAACCUCUGUCCUUGGUGAAGAGAAGCAGACGGUAGCCAAGGAGGAAGCCCCGGCUAAAUACGUGCCAGCAGCCGCGGUAAUACGUAGGGGGCAAGCGUUGUCCGGAAUGAUUGGGCGGAAAGGGCGCGUAGGCGGCCUGGUAAGUCUGGAGUGAAAGUCCUGCUUUUAAGGUGGGAAUUGCUUUGGAUACUGCUGGGCUUGAGUGCAGGAGAGGUAAGUGGAAUUCCCAGUGUAGCGGUGAAAUGCGUAGAGAUUGGGAGGAACACCAGUGGCGAAGGCGACUUACUGGACUGUAACUGACGCUGAGGCGCGAAAGUGUGGGGAGCAAACAGG
rnacentral:rRNA from 1 species